GGGAGGAGGACCUUGGGGGGAGCGCCGGGGGAGGGCCGGAGGAGCUGGGACCCUACUGCCUCCCGGCGGGCUGGGGACCAUUCCAGACCCCAGGAUGGAGAAGAGCGAGGAACAGAGCCCAGAAGGGAGGAAGUGGCUGGCUGAUGGAAGCGGGGGAGGUGGGAAGGGCUCAGCGAUCACCCGAAAAUGCCAAUUGUGAUACCGGUGGAGGAUGCUUCUCACAAGACACCAAAGACCUCAAGGACUCAAGGACAUCAAUUCACGGAAAUACUGCCCAUCCUACCACAAACCCUCAACCUCCAGUUCAACUUGCAGUGUUCUACACGGUGACUGCCCCUUCAGCAUUGAGUCCAGUGAUGACAAGGAAUAGAACCUCAGCUGAUCCUUGGUGGGCAUGGAACAUAAAUAAGAAAUAAAGCCUUGUUAUUUGAAGGCAGUGACAUUUGAGGGAUGUUUGUUAUUACAGCAUAACC
rnacentral:lncRNA from 1 species